AACGAAAAGAACAACAGGGAUUGCCCUAGUAACGGCGAGUGAAGCGGCAACAGCUCAAAUUUGAAAUCUGGCUUAGGCCCGAGUUGUAAUUUGUAGAGGAUGCUUUUGGUGCGGUGCCUUCUGAGUUCCCUGGAACGGGACGCCACAGAGGGUGAGAGCCCCGUAUAGUUGGACACCAAGCCUUUGUAAAGCUCCUUCGACGAGUCGAGUAGUUUGGGAAUGCUGCUCAAAAUGGGAGGUAAAUGCCUUCUAAAGCUAAAUACUGGCCAGAGACCGAUAGCGCACAAGUAGAGUGAUCGAAAGAUGAAAAGCACUUUGAAAAGAGGGUUAAACAGCACGUGAAAUUGUUGAAAGGGAAGCGCUUGUGACCAGACUUGCGCCAGGUGGAUCAUCCAGCGUUCUCGCUGGUGCACUCUGCCUGGUUCAGGCCAGCAUCGGUUUCUUCAGAGGGAUAAAGGCUCCGGGAAUGUAGCUCCUCAGGGAGUGUUAUAGCCCGCUGCACAAUACCUCUGGGGGGACCGAGGUUCGCGCUCUGCAAGGAUGCUGGCGUAAUGGUCAUCAGCGGCCCGUCUUGAAACACGGACCAAGGAGUCAAGCAUUAGGGCGAGUGUUUGGGUGCAAAACCCGCACGCGUAAUGAAAGUGAACGUAGGUGAGAGCUUCGGCGCAUCAUCGACCGAUCCUGAUGUAUUCGGAUGGAUUUGAGUAAGAGCCUUGCCGCUUGGACCCGAAAGAUGGUGAACUAUGCUUGUAUAGGGUGAAGCCAGAGGAAACUCUGGUGGAGGCUCGCAGCGGUUCUGACGUGCAAAUCGAUCGUCAAAUAUGAGCAUGCGGGCGAGAGACUAAUCGAACUAUCUAGUAGCUGGUUACCGCCGAAGUUUCCCUCAGGAUNNCAUUGUUGUUUCAGUUUAUUGAGGC
rnacentral:rRNA from 1 species